CCGACCGCCCCUGGCGGCCCAGGGCGGCCGGUGCCGAGUUCUGCGUCGCCUCGAAGUUAGUCGGGCGUGUCGAGCCCGCCAGGCCAGGCCAUUCGCUCCGCAUUGCCUCCCCAGCGGUACUCGGGCCUCCACUCGCUUCGCUGGCGUUAGCACAUUCUGUUUUGACCACACCCGGAAGACUUGGGAAGUGUUCCUCAUCCUUAGAGCUGUCUCUUCAAAAGUUAGUGUCCUUGCUGAUGCUCAAUCAGACUUCUGACCAUAAUUUCUUGUGUCGACUGUCUGCAAAGCACGGUACCUGGAGCUUUGAGGAAGGAGGGACUGGGGGUACAUUGCAUAAGGAGAAGGCUUUCAGUCUACCUCUACUUUCCGUGUGACCCUGGCUAACCUUCCUGAGCCUCAGUUUACUUCUGUAAAUGGGGACGGUAAUGGCCACCUGACUGUGUGCUGUUGAUUAAAUGAGCUAUGUAGCCACCUGAAUUAACAACCUAAAAAUGCUUUUGAUGCUGUGGAACUUGCCCACAAUAAAAACAAAAGAAAGAAAAGAAAUCCAGAUAGACUGGAAAAGACCUCAGGUCAGGAAAAGACCUCACUGAAGUCUGACUUCAGCACUACGAGUUCUCAGAUAUCAACCAAGUACUUAAUAAUGCGGGGAGGCUGUUGUUUUGACUUUGGUGGUGGAGAAAGAGCAUUUUGGAGGAGAAUGAUGUGAAUUAGGCUUUGAAGACCAGAAUUGUUCAGCUGCCUAGAAAAGGAACAAGAAGAAACAGAUGGUUGGCCUAACCAGGUCUGGAGAUUGACACGACAGUUGUGAACCAAGAUGAGUGAAAUAAGUCAUUAGGUUGCAGGUCCGGCGAGCACAGUGGGAAGAACUGUCCCUGAGAUU